rnacentral:rRNA from 1 species
UACGGAGGGUGCAAGCGUUGUUCGGAAUCAUUGGGCGUAAAGCGCGUGUAGGCGGCUUGGCAAGUCAGUUGUGAAAGCCCGGGGCCCAACCCCGGAACUGCAUCUGAAACUGCCUGGCUAGAGUCCCGGAGAGGAAGGCAGAAUUCCCGGUGUAGGGGUGAAAUCCGUAGAUAUCGGGAGGAAUACCAGCGGCGAAGGCGGCCUCUGGACGGUGACUGACGCUGAGACGCGAAAGCGUGGGGAGCAAACAGG